rnacentral:lncRNA from 1 species
GUGGAGGUCAGGGGUUGGUUCUUUCCUUCUUACCCUUUCAGGUUCUGAGGAUCAAACUCAAGUUGUCAGAUUGAUGGAGGAUUACCCAGUGAGCCGUCCCUCCAGCCUAAAAGGAAGUGCGUCAAGUGAUCGGUGUCCGGGAUGGAGCUGCUACAGAGCAUGCGCCCUGCGGCAGAUUUGCAACUUUACCGAAAAGAAUGGAAAAGGAAAAAGAAAGGACGUUACCUACGGCAGAUGUGGUUUCUCAACAUUUCACAAUCUGGAUUACCGGCUGGAGAUUUGGUUCUCCGGUAAGGGCCAGGACCCCUAUCUUGCAGAGGACUAGAUUAAUU